CUGGCAGCAGGCGCGGGCGGUUGGGAGCGUGGGGAGCCGGGGGAGGGAGACGGGAGUCUCGCGAUGCUAGCGCGGGGCUGCUGACGUCAUCUGCAGGCCCUGGAGACGCGACUGCAGUUACCGAGUUUCUAAGGCCUCGUCCCCUGACGGGAAGGCGGCGUUGGGGGGCGGCUGGGUUUACCCUUCGAGAGACGGGGCUUCGCCAUCUUUCCCAGGCUGGUCUCAAACUCCUGAGCUCAAGUGACCCUCCUGCCUUGGCCUCCCAGAGUGCUGGGAUUACAGGCAUGAGCAAUGGUGCCUGGCCCAAAAUUCAUACAUUAGCAAAAGUAGGGAGAAUAAAGUAAUGAACACUCAUUUUCCACCUUCAGCAAUAUCAACGUGGAUCAAUCUUGUUUCAUCUAUACCCCAGAUUAUUUUGGGGCAAACUAUAAAUAUAGUUAUACUAUAACUAUCCAUAUCUUAUUAUGUACUUUAGAAGGUGAAGCUCUUAAAAUACAGACAUAAAUGAAAUCUAACUGGCAUACUGUGGUAAGCCGAAUUCUAAGAUGGCCUCUAAGAUUCCUGGCCCCUGGUACACACAUACCUUUUCCCAGUUAGUUAAUCAAACAUGAAUUUGGGUGCUGCUACAAAGGGAUUUUGGUA
rnacentral:lncRNA from 1 species